rnacentral:rRNA from 1 species
UACAGAGGUCUCAAGCGUUGUUCGGAUUCAUUGGGCGUAAAGGGCGCGUAGGCGGCCAUCUAAGUCAGACGUGAAAUCCCUCGGCUCAACCGAGGAACUGCGUCUGAUACUGGAAGGCUUGAAUCCGGGAGAGGGAUGUGGAAUUCCAGGUGUGGCGGUGAAAUGCGUAGAUAUCUGGAGGAACACCGGUGGCGAAGGCGGCAUCCUGGACCGGUAUUGACGCUGAGGAGCGAAAGCCAGGGAGCAAACGGG